rnacentral:rRNA from 1 species
CUGUUUCGCUGACGAGUGGCGGACGGGUGAGUAAUGUCUGGGAAACUGCCUGAUGGAGGGGGAUAACUACUGGAAACGGUAGCUAAUACCGCAUAACGUCGCAAGACCAAAGAGGGGGACCUUCGGGCCUCUUGCCAUCGGAUGUGCCCAGAUGGGAUUAGCUUGUUGGUGGGGUAACGGCUCACCAAGGCGACGAUCCCUAGCUGGUCUGAGAGGAUGACCAGCCACACUGGAACUGAGACACGGUCCAGACUCCUACGGGAGGCAGCAGUGGGGAAUAUUGCACAAUGGGCGCAAGCCUGAUGCAGCCAUGCCGCGUGUAUGAAGAAGGCCUUCGGGUUGUAAAGUACUUUCAGCGGGGAGGAAGGGAGUAAAGUUAAUACCUUUGCUCAUUGACGUUACCCGCAAAAGAAGCACCGGCUAACUCCGUGCCAGCAGCCGCGGUAAUACGGAGGGUGCAAGCGUUAAUCGGAAUUACUGGGCGUAAAGCGCACGCAGGCGGUUUGUUAAGUCAGAUGUGAAAUCCCCGGGCUCAACCUGGGAACUGCAUCUGAUACUGGCAAGCUUGAGUCUCGUAGAGGGGGGUAGAAUUCCAGGUGUAGCGGUGAAAUGCGUAGAGAUCUGGAGGAAUACCGGUGGCGAAGGCGGCCCCCUGGACGAAGACUGACGCUCAGGUGCGAAAGCGUGGGGAGCAAACAGGAUUAUAUACCCUGGUAGUCCACGCCGUAAACGAUGUCGACUUGGAGGUUGUGCCCUUGAGGCGUGGCUUCCGGAGCUAACGCGUUAAGUCGACCGCCUGGGGAGUACGGCCGCAAGGUUAAAACUCAAAUGAAUUGACGGGGGCCCGCACAAGCGGUGGAGCAUGUGGUUUAAUUCGAUGCAACGCGAAGAACCUUACCUGGUCUUGACAUCCACGGAAGUUUUCAGAGAUGAGAAGGUGCCUUCGGGAACCGUGAGACAGGUGCUGCAUGGCUGUCGUCAGCUCGUGUUGUGAAAUGUUGGGUUAAGUCCCGCAACGAGCGCAACCCUUAUCCUUUGUUGCCAGCGGUCCGGCCGGGAACUCAAAGGAGACUGCCAGUGAUAAACUGGAGGAAGGUGGGGAUGACGUCAAGUCAUCAUGGCCCUUACGACCAGGGCUACACACGUGCUACAAUGGCGCAUACAAAGAGAAGCGACCUCGCGAGAGCAAGCGGACCUCAUAAAGUGCGUCGUAGUCCGGAUUGGAGUCUGCAACUCGACUCCAUGAAGUCGGAAUCGCUAGUAAUCGUGGAUCAGAAUGCCACGGUGAAUACGUUCCCGGGCCUUGUACACACCGCCCGUCACACCAUGGGAGUGGGUUGCAAAAGAAGUAGGUAGCUUAACCUUCGGGAGGGCGCUUACCACUUUGUG